rnacentral:misc_RNA from 1 species
GAGCUUAACCAGUCUUCCUUGAGUGAAGCUAACACUCUAACUUUAAAUUAUCUCAUAAUAGGUACUUGAAGAUAUUAUUAAUACUAAAAGAUGAAAAGUUCAACAUAACACCAACUUUUUGUGAUGAACUUAUUAUGCCAAAAUAAUAGGCUGUGAUAUUAAUCACCUUGAAUAUCUGUGUUUGUUUAAACAUAGCUGUUAUGAAAUAGUAAAUAGAAUGAACUAUUUACUU